GGACUACAGGGGUUUCUAAUCCCGUUCGCUACCCUGGCCUUCGUGUUUCAGCGUCAGAUUCUGCCCAGAGUCUUGCCUUCGCUAUAAGUGUUCCUUUCGAUAUCUACGCAUUUCACUGCUACACCGAAAAUUCCAGACUCCUCUACAGACCUCGAGCAUGGCAGUAUCGGGUGCUAUUCGGGGGUUGAGCCCCCGGAUUUCACACCUGACUUUCCACGCCGCCUACACACCCUUUACGCCCAGUGAUUCCGAACAACGCUUGAGACCUCUGUAUUACCGCGGCUGCUGGCAC
rnacentral:rRNA from 1 species